GUGGGGAAUAUUGGACAAUGGGCGAAAGCCUGAUCCAGCCAUGCCGCGUGUGUGAAGAAGGUCUUCGGAUUGUAAAGCACUUUAAGUUGGGAGGAAGGGCAGUAAGUUAAUACCUUGCUGUUUUGACGUUACCGACAGAAUAAGCACCGGCUAACUCUGUGCCAGCAGCCGCGGUAAUACAGAGGGUGCAAGCGUUAAUCGGAAUUACUGGGCGUAAAGCGCGCGUAAGUGGUUCGUUAAGUUGGAUGUGAAAGCCCCGGGCUCAACCUGGGAACUGCAUCCAAAACUGGCGAGCUAGAGUACGGUAGAGGGUGUUGGAAUUUCCUGUGUAGCGGUGAAAUGCGUAGAUAUAGGAAGGAACACCAGUGGCGAAGGCGACCACCUGGACUGAUACUGACACUGAGGUGCGAAAGCGUGGGGAGCAAACAGGAUUAGAAACCCCUGUAGUCC
rnacentral:rRNA from 1 species